rfam:Clostridium sp. CAG:452 genomic scaffold, scf13
UUUUCCCUGCGUAGUGCGUAAGGACUGAAUUUUUAGAACCAACAGAUAAGGAAAGGGAGCUUGGAACUCUGAAUAUGGCGUGCAUGCUUGCACUUUAAGUAGCAAGAAGCCCACAAGUAUUUAGGAGAGCACCCACCUGUGUAAGAGCAGGUCCUUAAAAAUUCUAAUACCGACGGCUAAGGCGGGGCUUUU